GACGAACGCUGGCGGCGUGCUUAACACAUGCAAGUCGAACGGAAAGGCCCUGCUUUUGUGGGGUGCUCGAGUGGCGAACGGGUGAGUAACACGUGAGUAACCUGCACUUGACUUUGGGAUAACUUCAGGAAACUGGGGCUAAUACCGGAUAGGAGCUCCUGCUGCAUGGUGGGGGUUGGAAAGUUUCGGCGGUUGGGGAUGGACUCGCGGCUUAUCAGCUUGUUGGUGGGGUAGUGGCUUACCAAGGCUUUGACGGGUAGCCGGCCUGAGAGGGUGACCGGCCACAUUGGGACUGAGAUACGGCACAGACUCCUACGGGAGGCAGCAGUGGGGAAUAUUGCACAAUGGGCGGAAGCCUGAUGCAGCAACGCCGCGUGCGGGAUGACGGGCUUCGGGUUGUAAACCGCUUUCGCCUGUGACGAAGCGUGAGUGACGGUAAUGGGUAAAGAAGCACCGGCUAACUACGUG
rnacentral:rRNA from 1 species